UACGAAGGGGGCUAGCGUUGUUCGGAUUUACUGGGCGUAAAGCGCGCGUAGGCGGGUCACUAAGUCAGGGGUGAAAUCCCGAGGCUUAACCUCGGAACUGCCUUUGAUACUGGUGACCUGGAGAUCGGGAGAGGUUGGUGGAAUUCCGAGUGUAGAGGUGAAAUUCGUAGAUAUUCGGAGGAACACCAGAAGCGAAGGCGGCCAACUGGCCCGAUACUGACGCUGAUGCGCGAAAGCCAGGGGAGCGAACGGG
rnacentral:rRNA from 1 species